GAUCGAACGAUAACAAGAGUUGCAUGAGAGUUGACAAGCGAGAGUUUACAUGAGAGUUUUCUCAACUUUCAUGAAAAUUCUCACUUGUCAACUCUCAUUACAAUUAUUGUUCUCAUUCGAUC